rnacentral:rRNA from 1 species
UACAGAGGGUGCAAGCGUUGUUCGGAAUCAUUGGGCGUAAAGGGCGUGUAGGCGGUUUGUUAAGUCAUGUGUGAAAUCCCUCGGCUCAACCGGGGAACGACGCAUGAAACUGGCAAGCUAGAGUACCAAAGAGGGGGGUGGAAUUCCCGGUGUAGCGGUUAAAUGCGUAGAUAUCGGGAGGAACACCUGUGGCGAAGGCGACCCCCUGGUUGGAUACUGACGCUGAGACGCGAAAGCGUGGGGAGCAAACAGG